GUGGGGAAUAUUGGACAAUGGGCGAAAGCCUGAUCCAGCCAUGCCGCGUGUGUGAAGAAGGUCUUCGGAUUGUAAAGCACUUUAAGUUGGGAGGAAGGGCAGUAAGUUAAUACCUUGCUGUUUUGACGUUACCGACAGAAUAAGCACCGGCUAACUUCGUGCCAGCAGCCGCGGUAAUACGAAGGGUGCAAGCGUUAAUCGGAAUUACUGGGCGUAAAGCGCGCGUAGGUGGUUUUGUAAGUUGGGGGUGAAAUCCCCGGGCUCAACCUGGGAACUGCCUCCAAAACUGCAUGACUAGAGUACGGUAGAGGGUAGUGGAAUUUCCUGUGUAGCGGUGAAAUGCGUAGAUAUAGGAAGGAACACCAGUGGCGAAGGCGACUACCUGGACUGAUACUGACACUGAGGUGCGAAAGCGUGGGGAGCAAACAGGAUUAGAAACCCUAGUAGUCC
rnacentral:rRNA from 1 species